rnacentral:rRNA from 1 species
UGAGUUAGUGGCGGACGGGUGAGUAACGCGUGGGUAACCUGCCUUACACAGGGGGAUAACACCUGGAAACAGGUGCUAAUACCGCAUAAGCGCACAGGGCCGCAUGGCCCGGUGUGAAAAACUCCGGUGGUGUAAGAUGGACCCGCGUCUGAUUAGCUUGUUGGCGGGGUAGGGGCCCACCAAGGCGACGAUCAGUAGCCGGCCUGAGAGGGUGAACGGCCACAUUGGGACUGAGACACGGCCCAAACUCCUACGGGAGGCAGCAG